rnacentral:lncRNA from 1 species
UUUCUAAUGCAAUUACGUGCAACACCCCUUGUGAGCGGGAAAUAAACCAACGUGGAUACACACGGAAUGCAGAAGCAUCAAUGGAAGUGGGAGGCAUAUCAAGACGGAAAGGAUUAAACACAGCCACCAAAUUCCUAGCAGCAAUCACUAUAUCAUACUUCCAAAACAACUCCCCGUUGCACGAAAUUACAGUUCUUGAUCCAGGUGUUCGAACACGAGAAAUACAGACAAGAGCUUCCUUGGUCCAUUGUCCAGACUCGGA